CCUGCCCAGCAGAGAGACCCGUGAAC
rnacentral:rRNA from 1 species